rnacentral:rRNA from 1 species
AAACUUUACAAUGCUGGCAACAGCGAUAAGGGAACCUCUAGUGCCAGGUUACAAAUCUGGCUGUCGAGAUGCCUAAAAAGCAUUUCAUAGCAAGGGCCGGGCAAGACCGUUGCCAGCCGCCGCGGUAACACCGGCGGCUCGAGUGGUAACCGUUAUUAUUGGGUCUAAAGGGUCUGUAGCCGGCCGGAUAAGUCUCUUGAGAAAUCUGGCAGCUUAACUGUCAGGCUUUCAGGAGAUACUGUCUGGCUCGAGGCCGGGAGAGGUGAGAGGUACUUCAGGGGUAGGGGUGAAAUCUUGUAAUCCUUGAAGGACCACAAGUGGCGAAGGCGUCUCACCAGAACGGACCUGACGGCAAGGGACGAAAGCUAGGGGCACGAACCG